GAAAAUUCUACAUUUAAUAAUCAUAUCCUAUGUGACAAAGUUACACUUUAGUUACAAAGCAUCACAGAGGACUUUAUGUCCUCCCACUUUUUUUUGUUGUUGUUUUUUUUGUUUUGUUUUUGUUGUCUAUAAAAUAUGGAUUUAAUAUAAAAUUGAAGAUCACAUCUCCUGACUCUAUACAGCUGGCUUUUGCUAAUGAGUUAAAACUUUCUUACCCUUAGCUCUUUUCAUUCAGAUCUUGGAAGAUAACAUGAUGGGCUUAUUUUUUAGCAGUGCUUAGUGUGGAAGGCUUACUCUAUAACUUCAGAGGCAGCUACUAAACAUAUCAAUUAAUGUGCACAUCUUAGGUCUGUAUUUUUCUGUGCCCUUCUAGCUGAUUUGUCCAGGCUGCAUUUUGUAUAUCUGCAAAGUUGUUUUUCAACAAUGAUGUGCAACCUGAUUCUCUGAACAACUACAGUGCAAAGGAUGUAGAUUAACAGGGAGUAUCAAUACACAGUUGUCACAUGUGCAGGUAUUUUCAAACAUAACUGCUGCCCUUGCACUCCUUGUUUGAAAAUUAUCUCAGAAAUCUGUACUAGUGUUUAUGAAAGAACUGUAGCACUUUUCAUUCAUUUUUUUUUUCUUUAAAUUUAUCCACAGAGCAGGACUAGACAGAUACUGAAAUAUUCAGCUUCUCUUGCUGCCUGAGAAGUUUUACAAAUACGUAACCCAGGCACAAGAGCUGUACAUUAUUUUUCUUAUAUCUCUGAAAUAUAUCACUUGCAGGAAUAAUGGAGAGGGAAUGGGAAAUGUGUUCUGCUUCAACUACCAACUCUAAUUCAGCUUUCCAGAGCUAUUGUUUUGAUACUGCACUGGGAUGGCACUGAGAUGUUGUGCCCUAGAAUCCUCAUCGAGAACAAUAGGCAUUACUGUGCUCCUUUACAGCUGGAUCAAUUCUCCAGUUCACCACAAAAACAGCUGGAUGUAACUGUGGGUAGCAACAAAUACAGAAGAUGGCUUGAUAGUGGGAGAAAGUGCCUGGCAAUAAGAUGAAGGCAGAACCUAAUAUUUUACCCAUCCUGUCACUGGGGACAAUUGAAUACACAAUUGCAUGAUAACAAACAACUUCAGAUUAUUUUGAUGCUCACCUCAGUAGCUGGGUACUGAAGAAAAUAAUCAGUUUCAGGUAAACAACAAGAAAAAAAUAAGUAAUCUCACUUCCUCUCUUAAACAUCAAUAAGACUGAAGAUGGAAAAGAAUAAAGAUUAAAGGGCUUUCUUUAUCA
rnacentral:lncRNA from 1 species